rnacentral:tRNA from 1 species
UGGCUCAGUUGGUUAGAGCGUUCCGAUAAGUCGGGAAGGUCGCUAGUUCGAAUCUAGC